AUCCUCCCAGGCCCACUCUCUCACAUACCGCAGGCCGCGCUAUCUCUCACUUCAUUCACCACCACCGCUUCACCCCAGCUCUUCUGAUUUCUACCUGCUGGGCGGCGCCGGUGAUCCCCACCGGCCGGUCGAGCACACCCUCCUUCGCCACCAGAUUCCGUCACCACGAGUUGUGACUUUUGUUGAGUUCAGGGUCAAAGCAUCUGCAUCUCCAUCUGCGUUCAAAACCAUUCUCGUUCCCGAGCUAGCACCACAGUUGGCUCUGCUGGAUUUCUGCCUUCUCCGCCGACGGUCAUUCAUCACUGGCCAGCCGGUGAGCGAAGGUUCUUGAACUCAUCUAGUCUCUAAGAUGAGCAAAAGUAGGAAGAAGCCUCCGGACAGCGAACAACCAUGCUACUCCCGAAUGUGAUGUGAAACUUAUUCGAAUUGGAUGGUAUAGGAAAAUAAGAGUCAUUACAUUGGACUGGUCAUUAUGUGACGUCAAGUUCUGUAUGAAGCUUUCAACUUGGGCAGACAAUCUUGCAAAGCUGGAAGAAGAUACUGAAGCAACUACAAAUGGAGUUUCAGCAGGAGAGACUGAUGGCAAUUUUCCACCGGUCAAACACCACAAUCUUUAGCUGUGAUGAGAUCAACUUGGAGGAUCCAAAAUGGUGUGACUGUACUUCUUAGGGUGCCACCAACAGCCAACCCAGAGCAGCUUAAUCGCAGGCUAAUACAACAAGCAAUUAAUUUGAAGUGUGGGAUUGAUGUUCCGGAGGACAACAUUUUUAAAGUUUUUUAUGAUUUUGUGCUGUGGACCGCUUCAACCGAUCACGCCACUCAAAUCAUGCAGAUAACAGAUAUCGACAUUGCGGGUGUCAAGAUUGUUGUCUAUCCAUGGACUCCUACCUUUAAUUAACUUGCCACUCCACGACCACUCUAUUGCACCAGCCAAACGGCCCCGAGAUGAAAUUUGUGAGCAUCUAAAAAUUACAGUUUAUGGAGUGCCACCGCAUCUUACGAAAGCCCAAACCAUACCUAGAGUAUUUCCAAACAUAUGUCAGCCUUCCAAUAUGCAUAUUGACAAGGAGAAUAUCAUUUAUAGCUUCAAGACAUAUGCAUGUCGUGCUGAUAUUCCUAGUACAUGGAAUCUAGGCAUCCGUCGAGGUACUAUGUUGCACUUGUGGCCAAUCUGGAUCGAUGUAAAAAGCUGUGCACCUCCUACCCAAGUGUCGCGGGCCCGACAAGAUGUGAGCAACGUGAGGGUCCGGUUCUCAUUGUUCCCCACACCUAGUGUAGGUCUGUCUGGACAUGGUGAUGGAGAUGGACAUCAAGGAGGUUACACAGGUAGAUAACAAAUGCCUCUUGGGCUAUUAGUUAUGGUACAACCAUCCUAUAGGCUACUUUGUUGAGUCACGCGACGAUUCAUCUGAAGAUUCAUAUUGCACAGUACCGGUAACACCAGAUUAUGAUCCAUUUGAGUUACCCUUGAGCCUAGUACCAAGUUUUAGCCAAAUCACCGAAGUGCCAGAGACACAAGAAGACAAUGUCGACUAAAUCCAAAGUUAUGGAGACAUGAGGAGCUUCAAGCACUCAAGAAAUCUGUGCCUGAUCGGACGACUGCUGAAAGAAGUGCUUAGAAUGAGGCGAUUUCAGCUCUAUACUGUAGUUUCUUCCACAUAGAAUCUGUGCCUUUGUUUGGGAUUAUGAAAGAGCGGAGAGCACUCCCCAGUUCCCACACCCUUCCAGACAUCCUUGAUCUUACAUAUUUACCUUUAAGACCCCCUUUGGACUGCUGUUUGUUUUCCUUGUUUUCUGUAUUUUUCCGUGAAGAUUACUGUGAAGACUCCUGUUAAACUUGUGUACGAUUACUGUGAAGUUCCUGCGUUCCAAAGGGACCCUAAAUGUAUAAUCAAACUUGAACUGGAGGAGCACAUAAACCAUGGCCUUGUUUAGUUUCUGAAAAAUUUUGCAAAAUUUU